rnacentral:rRNA from 1 species
GCCCGCUACAGAAACUCAAAGGAAGUUCGACGGGGGCCCGGCACAAGCGGUGGAGUAUGUGGUUAAUUCGAUGCAACGCGAAGAACUUACCUGGUCUUGACAUCCCGGAGACCCUUAGGAAACUAGGGGGUGCUUCCAUCUGGAAGAAUCUGGAGACAGGUGCUGCAUGGCUGUCGUCAGCUCGUGUCGUGAGAUGUUGGGUUAAGUCCCGCAACGAGCGCAACCCUUGCCUUUAGUUGCCAGCAGUUCGGCUGGGCACUCUAAAGGGACUGCCGGUGUUAAACCGGAGGAAGGUGGGGAUGACGUCAAGUCCUCAUGGCCUUUAUGACCAGGGCUACACACGUACUACAAUGGCCGAUACAAAGGGCAGCGACACUGCGAGGUGAAGCCAAUCCCGUAAAAUCGGUCUCAGUCCGGAUUGGAGUCUGCAACUCGACUCCAUGAAGUUGGAAUCGCUAGUAAUCGUGGAUCAGCAUGCCACGGUGAAUACGGUUCCCGGGCCUU